UGACUUGGCAACUGCCAAGGGACUGGGGGACAAAACCACUGAGAAGACUGCUGGUCUGGCUGGCAAAGGCAGUGGAGUUGGGAGUCAAAUAUGGCGAGGUGACAGGACAGGUCUGUGAUAGACACCCCCCCAGCAGAAGCACCUGGACCCAGGUAAAUGGAGGCUGUUUUUUGGAAGCGAUGAAACGGAACUUUGACAAAAUGAAAUGAUUUUAAUUUCAAGAACUUCACAGGGGAGUUUGGAAGAAAGCUCCUGUGGAGAUGUGGGUUCAAUCUACCUCUUCACUGUGGUCAGUGCAUCUCACCUGCUAAUGGGGUGUAAUUUUGUGGAGUCAAUGACAUAUAUUAGAGUCCGGCUGCGUGUGGAGCAGGACCUACACAUUGUGCAGUGGAGCGAGUGUGGGUUUGGGAAAGAACAGAGUGGAGUCCAGUCUGCGAAAAGAGCCACUGCAGUGCCUUAGGGCACUUCUACAAUCAUGAACAAAAAGUACACAGGAGUGCUGCCCAGACAGCAGGGGACAUGUCUGGUCAGGUGGGUUACCUGAGCUUGUGUGUAUGUGGGUCACAGUCAUCUGUAUUUAACAUAGUAUAAAUUAACACAGAGAAAGAUGUGAAGGAUCAGAAUUCACAAGCACAUAUUGCAUUUGUCAAAGGAGAAACGAUAUCAUCAUACACCGUGGAGCUUCUGAAAAACUCCUCUGUGCCCUGAUGUAAUCAAGAUGAAGUCAUAUCAGAGUAAGGAGGGCCUUAAUCCAGCAUGACUGGUGUCCUCGUAAGAAGAGGAGAAGAGGCACAGACACACACACAGGGAAAGUGCCAUGCAACAAUAGCAGCAGAGAAGGAAGUUAUUUUGCCACAAGCCAAGGAGCACCAAAGCUUGCCGACAACCAUCAGAAGCAAGGAGAUUUCUUCUCCAGAGCCUCCAGGAGGAUCCAACACUACCAACCCCUCAAUUUCAGACUUCCAUCCUCCUGAACUGUGAGAGAAUAAAUUUCUGGUUUGUUUGUUCGUUUGCGAUGGAGUCUCGCUCUUUCGCCCAGGCGGGAGUGCAAUGGCGUGACCUCGGCUCACUGCAACCUCUGCCUCUGGGGUUCAAGCAAUUCU
rnacentral:lncRNA from 10 species